AUUGAACGCUGGCGGCAUGCCUUACACAUGCAAGUCGAACGGCAGCACGGGAGCAAUCCUGGUGGCGAGUGGCGAACGGGUGAGUAAAGUAUCGGAACGUGCCCAGUCGUGGGGGAUAACGUAGCGAAAGUUACGCUAAUACCGCAUACGAUCUAUGGAUGAAAGCGGGGGAUCGCAAGACCUCGCGCGAUUGGAACGGCCGAUAUCAGAUUAGGUAGUUGGUGGGGUAAAGGCUCACCAAGCCGACGGUCUGUAGCUGGUCUGAGAGGACGACCAGCCACACUGGGACUGAGACACGGCCCAGACUCCUACGGGAGGCAGCAGUGGGGAAUUUUGGACAAUGGGCGAAAGCCUGAUCCAGCCAUGCCGCGUGCAGGAUGAAGGCCUUCGGGUUGUAAACUGCUUUUGUACGGAACGAAAAGGUUUGGCCUAAUAAGCUGAGCUCAUGACGGUACCGUAAGAAUAAGCACCGGCUAACUACGUGCCAGCAGCCGCCGUAA
rnacentral:rRNA from 1 species